rnacentral:rRNA from 1 species
AGUGAACGCUGGCGGUAGGCCUAACACAUGCAAGUCGAACGGCAGCACAGUAAGAGCUUGCUCUUACGGGUGGCGAGUGGCGGACGGGUGAGGAAUACAUCGGAAUCUACUUUUUCGUGGGGGAUAACGUAGGGAAACUUACGCUAAUACCGCAUACGACCUACGGGUGAAAGCAGGGGAUCUUCGGACCUUGCGCGAUUGAAUGAGCCGAUGUCGGAUUAGCUAGUUGGCGGGGUAAAGGCCCACCAAGGCGACGAUCCGUAGCUGGUCUGAGAGGAUGAUCAGCCACACUGGAACUGAGACACGGUCCAGACUCCUACGGGAGGCAGCAGUAGGGAAUCUUGGGCAAUGGGCGCAAGCCUGAUCCAGCCAUGCCGCGUGGGUGAAGAAGGUCUUCGGGUUGUAAAGCCCUUUUGUUGGGAAAGAAAAACAGCAGGAUAAUACCCCGCUGUUCUGACGGUACCCAAAGAAUAAGCACCGGCUAACUUCGUG